rnacentral:rRNA from 1 species
ACAUGCAAGUCGAGGGGUAUAGUAGCAAUACUAGAGACCGGCGCACGGGUGCGUAACGCGUAUGCAAUCUACCUUUUACAGAGGGAUAGCCCAAAGAAAUUUGGAUUAAUACCUCAUAGCAUAGCAGCUUCGCAUGAAGCCACUAUUAAAGUCACAACGGUAAAAGAUGAGCAUGCGUCCCAUUAGCUAGUUGGUAAGGUAACGGCUUACCAAGGCAACGAUGGGUAGGGGUCCUGAAAGGGAGAUCCCCCACACUGGUACUGAGACACGGACCAAACUCCUACGGGAGGCAGCAGUGAGGAAUAUUGGACAAUGGGCGCAAGCCUGAUCCAGCCAUGCCGCGUGCAGGAUGACGGUCCUAUGGAUUGUAAACUGCUUUUGCACAGGAAGAAACAACAUUACGUGUAAUGUCUUGACGGUACUGUGAGAAUAAGGAUCGGCUAACUCCGUGCCAGCAGCCGCGGUAAUACGGAGGAUCCAAGCGAUUAUCCGGAAUCAUUGGGUUUAAAGGGUCCGUAGGCGGUUUAGUAAGUCAGUGGUGAAAGCCCAUCGCUCAACGGUGGAACGGCCAUUGAUACUGCUAGACUUGAAUUAUUAGGAAGUAACUAGAAUAUGUAGUGUAGCGGUGAAAUGCUUAGAGAUUACAUGGAAUACCAAUUGCGAAGGCAGGUUACUACUAAUGGAUUGACGCUGAUGGACGAAAGCGUGGGUAGCGAACAGGAUUAGAUACCCUGGUAGUCCACGCCGUAAACGAUGGAUACUAGCUGUUGGGAGCAAUCUCAGUGGCUAAGCGAAAGUGAUAAGUAUCCCACCUGGGGAGUACGUUCGCAAGAAUGAAACUCAAAGGAAUUGACGGGGGCCCGCACAAGCGGUGGAGCAUGUGGGUUUAAUUCGAUGAUACGCGAGGAACCUUACCAAGGCUUAAAUGUAGAUUGACCGGUUUGGAAACAGACUUUUCGCAAGACAAUUUACAAGGUGCUGCAUGGUUGUCGUCAGCUCGUGCCGUGAGGUGUCAGGUUAAGUCCUAUAACGAGCGCAACCCCUGUUGUUAGUUGCCAGCGAGUCAUGUCGGGAACUCUAACGAGACUGCCAGUGCAAACUGAGAGGAAGGUGGGGAUGACGUCAAAUCAUCACGGCCCUUACGCCUUGGGCUACACACGUGCUACAAUGGCCGGUACAGAGAGCAGCCACUGGGCGACCAGGAGCGAAUCUACAAAACCGGUCACAGUUCGGAUCGGAGUCUGCAACUCGACUCCGUGAAGCUGGAAUCGCUAGUAAUCGGAUAUCAGCCAUGAUCCGGUGAAUACGUUCCCGGGCCUUGUACACACCGCCCGUCAAGCCAUGGAAGCUGGGGGUGCCUGAAGUCGGUGACC